UGGGGGAUAUUGCACAAUGGAGGAAACUCUGAUGCAGCAACGCCGCGUGAGGGAAGACGGUCUUCGGAUUGUAGACCUAAGUUAUCAGGGACGAAAGAAAUGACGGUACCUGAAGAGAAAGCUCCGGCUAACUACGUGCCAGCAGCCGCGGUAAUACGUAGGGAGCGAGCGUUGUCCGGAUUUACUGGGUGUAAAGGGUGCGUAGGCGGGUUUGCAAGUCAGGCGUGAAAUCCCGGGGCUUAACUCCGGGGCUGCGCUUGAAACUGUAGAUCUUGAGUGAAGUAGAGGCAAGCGGAAUUCCUAGUGUAGCGGUGAAAUGCGUAGAUAUUAGGAGGAACACC
rnacentral:rRNA from 1 species